rnacentral:misc_RNA from 1 species
CUGAGUGCGGGCCCUCUGGGUCCAACCUCCCACCCGUGUUUAUCGUACCUUGUUGCUUCGGCGGGCCCGCCGUCAGGCCGCCGGGGGGCAUCCGCCCCCGGGCCCGCGCCCGCCGAAGACACCAUUGAACGCUGUCUGAAGGUUGCAGUCUGAGUUUGAUUAUUAAAUCGUUA